AUGCAUCUCUGACAGCCCUGGAGCAGUUCCUGUCUGCUGCUAAGGUUUCUACUACAGAUGCAAGAAAAAGAAGUCCUCGUGCUUUCUGUCUGUCUGAUUGUGGAAGCCAAGGAAAUCCUAA
rnacentral:snoRNA from 1 species